rnacentral:rRNA from 1 species
UAGGGAAUCUUCCACAAUGGACGCAAGUCUGAUGGAGCAACGCCGCGUGAGUGAAGAAGGGUCUCGGCUCGUAAAGCUCUGUUGUUAAAGAAGAACGUGGGUAAGAGUAACUGUUUACCCAGUGACGGUAUUUAACCAGAAAGCCACGGCUAACUACGUGCAAG